rnacentral:misc_RNA from 1 species
AGGUGCUUCAUACUACAGUGCGUACAUUUUUUUAUUUUGUUUUGUUUUAUUUUUUAAAAAUGUUGAUGCUAAGAGUCAGCUUAGCAUUAAUCUUAAAAAUGAUCUCUAUUUAGGUGCUUUUCCUGGGCUCCAUUCUCCACCACAAUACUAAGAAGCAGCCCCAACAGGUCCAAAUCCCCAACAGGUCCAAAUGAGGAAGCAACGUUUGGAAUCUACUGCCUUUUAUAAAGCAUUAGAAUUGGGUGUGCAACAGUGAGGAUGCUCUACUGCGAUUUGGAGGUCAUGGAUUCAAGCCAUGAAAACAGCUUCUUUGCAAUGCAAAGGAAAGGCUUAUGCAUUUGAACAUUUAUGCAACCUGCAAUGUGGUAGACUUCUUUAUUGGGAUGCCCUUUAUGUUAUACCUUCCAAACUCUGAG